rnacentral:lncRNA from 1 species
AAUGCUUUAGAUGAUGGAUAUACCUUUCUCCAUGAUGUGAUGAUGUGCUUAUUACAUUUUUUUUUUUUGAGACAGUAUUGCUGUGUCACCCAGGCUUGAGUGCAGUGGUACAAUCUCGGCUCACUGCACCCUCUGCCUCCUGAGUUCAAGCAAUUCUCCCGCCUCAGCCUCACCAGUAGCUGGGAUUACAGUUCUCUUCACCUGGGCAUCAUCCACUAUAGGAAAAGCAGGCACAUCUCAUUGAACAAACUCCUUGAGAUUGGAGAAGGGUGAAGACUUUGGUGAAAUUAACACCUUUUCUGACCCAGGCCACCGGUACUACCAGUCUGGAUCUUGAGGCUAUCUCCAUUCAAUAUUUACAUUAGCUGGUAUCUGACCAACCAUUAGUUGGUCAAUUACACAGUCACAGUAUCAUUAGUAAUUAGAUGACACCAUUGAGCAGAAAAAUCCUUAAAGAAAGACUAAACUUUCUUGUCAAGAAAUUCAAACCAAAACUGAAGCUUGUUUUUUUUGAAAUCCAAAACAAAAAGUUAAUUAUUUCUGAAACUGUCAUCAUUUUAAAAAAAAGGUCUUCAUUCAUCUGUAUGAGUUUUUAUUUCUCUGUCAAUCUUAGUUGUAAAAUAUCCUUUCUCUUCUGUUUUGAGUGUCAGGAUGUUGCAAGCAAUUCAAUUACAAUGUACUACUCUUGAUAAAAGGUAAAAUAAAGUACAUAUGGAAAUCUGCAAUUAUAAUCAAUCCCUAAAUGUGAAAAAAAAAUGAUAAUCUUAAUACACUUGUUUUAAUCCCCUUCAGCCUGAGAAGUGCUAGUGAAGAAAGUUCAGUUGGGCUUUUAAAAUCAGAGACAUUUUAAUGGCAUAUAUGGAUAGUUUCUGUUUGAACUCAGCUUAGAAAAAUAUUCUGAGUUUUUGGUGUGUGAUGUUCCCCUUCCUCUGUCCAUGUGUUCUCAUUGUUCAAUUCCCACCUAUGGGUGGGGGGAAGGGGGAGGGAUAGCAUUAGGAGAUAUACCUCAUGCUAAAUGACGAGUUAAUGGGUGCAGCACACCAACAUGGCACAUGUAUACAUAUGUAACAAACCUGCACGUUGUGCACAUGUACCCUAAAACUUAAAGUAUAAUAAUAAUAAAAUUAAAAGAAAAAGAAAAAUAUUCUGAGUUUUCAAGGUAAUACAGAAUAUGAUUUUCACACACAUCACUUUCUUUAAUUCAGAAUCAAUGCAGAUGAACAGUUUUAUUGUGGAGUACCAAUUAUUACAUGAAUAAAUGUUGUGGUAAAACUUGGUUUUCAUUUUUGUCAAUAGAUUGUCAUUGUAUUUCAAGUAUAAACUAAUCUAAAUUAUUAAUACAUAAUGAAAUUUGUAUUUUCAAGAAAAUAUAUUCUACCAAAUGUUCUAUAAAUUCUAUUAAAUGACUAUAAUUUACAGCAGUCUACAUCGAAUUCUGGAACAAAAACAUUACAUUCUAAUGUAAGUUAAAAGAGAAGAAAGGAGACACAGAAAGAUGCCAAUAGUUCAUAUUUAUAAUAUUAAAAGAAUUUAUAAAUAUUAACUUAAUGAGGUAAAUGUGUAUCUUUGUCUUAUAUUUACUCAAAUGAGGUGUAUCUGUGAAAUUUCUAGAAAAGUAUUUAGAAUUACAUAUGUACGGACUAUGGUUCUAAAAACACACAGCUCAAAUUUAAUGAGCUAAAAAUUUGUUAACAUGUAUACCCCUUAGAUCUUUCAUAUUUUAUGUAUUUCUAGAAAACAGUAGCAGCCCAAUUGUACAACAAAACUAAAUAUGCUUAAUUUUCCAUCACUUAAAAAUUUCACUUAUUUAAAAAGGCCUCAAAUUUCAAUGCUUAUAUUGUAUCAUGAAGCAGAAAAACAAAUGGAACUGAAUUACAGUGGCUAACUGUUCUUUCAGAGUCCUGUCUUAAGUGAAUAAUGGUAUUGAAAUUGUUUCUUACAUGUUAUUUUGAACUCCAAGUUUCUUUGGAUUUUGUAUGCACUUUGGAGAGCUUUUGAUCUUUUAUAAAUAUAUUUCAAAGCACCAAAAGAUGGAAUUGUUUUCCUACUUUCAUUUAGUACCUGAAGCAAAAUUACAAAUGCUUUUAAAUAGCAGUUUGCCAUAGUAUCAAGAGAAACACGGGCCUCAACUACUAAUGUAAGCUUUUCACAAUCUUAUUUUCUGUGUUCACAAUUAUGUAACAUGAAAUAUGAUAUCCUGGGUUAGAAAAGUGAGGAAUAAAAAACUCUUGUCCUUGA